rnacentral:misc_RNA from 1 species
UGGGUUUGACAUAUACCGGAAAGCCGUAGAGAUACGGCCCCCCUUGUGGUCGGUAUACAGGUGGUGCAUGGCUGUCGUCAGCUCGUGUCGUGAGAUGUUGGGUUAAGUCCCGCAACGAGCGCAACCCUCGUCCCAUGUUGCCAGCAGACCCUUCGGGGUGCUGGGGACUCAUGGGAGACUGCCGGGGUCAACUCGGAGGAAGGUGGGGAUGACGUGCCAAGGUUGGUU